GACGAACGCUGGCGGCGUGCUUAACACAUGCAAGUCGAACGAAGUGGCGAACGGGUGAGUAACGCGUAAUCAACCUGCCCAUCAGAGGGGGACAACAGUUGGAAACGACUGCUAAUACCGCAUACGGAUGGAGGGGAUUGCGUCUGAUUAGCUAGUUGGAGGGGCAACGGCCCACCCAGGCGAUGAUCAGAAGCCGGGCCGAGAGGAUGAACGGCCACAUUGGGACUGGGACACGGCCCCGACUCCUACGGGAGGCAGGAGUGGGGAAUGUUCCGCAAGGGACGAAAGUCUGACGGAGCAACGCCGCAGGAGUGAUGACGGCCUUCGGGUUGUAAAGGUCUGUUAAUCGGGACGCGGUACCGGCAUAGAAAGCCACGGCUAACUACGUGCCAGCAGCCGCGGUAAUUC
rnacentral:rRNA from 1 species